rnacentral:rRNA from 1 species
GUGGGGAAUCUUGCGCAAUGGGCGAAAGCCUGACGCAGCCAUGCCGCGUGAAUGAUGAAGGUCUUAGGAUUGUAAAAUUCUUUCACCGGGGACGAUAAUGACGGUACCCGGAGAAGAAGCUCCGGCUAACUUCGUGCCAGCAGCCGCGGUAAUACGAAGGGGGCUAGCGUUGCUCGGAAUUACUGGGCGUAAAGGGCGCGUAGGCGGACAGCUUAGUCAGAGGUGAAAGCCCAGGGCUCAACCUUGGAAUUGCCUUUGAUACUGGCUGUCUUGAGUGUGGGAGAGGUGAGUGGAACUCCGAGUGUAGAGGUGAAAUUCGUAGAUAUUCGGAAGAACACCAGUGGCGAAGGCGACUCACUGGCCCAAUACUGACGCUGAGGCGCGAAAGCGUGGGGAGCAAACAGGAUUAGAUACCCUUGUAGUCC